rnacentral:RNase_P_RNA from 1 species
UGAGUGGGUUAGGCAAUCGCUCCUGGCAACAGGGGAGGAAAGUCCGGGCUCCAUAGGGCAGAACGCCAGGUAACACCUGGGGGGCGCGAGCCUACGGAAAGUGCAACAGAGAAUAAACCGCCACAGACUUCGGUUUGCGGUAAGGGUGAAAUGGUGCGGUAAGAGCGCACCGCGCAGCUGGUAACAGUCUGUGGCUAGGUAAACCCCGUUCGGAGCAAGACCAAAUAGGAAUCCAUUGGCGUGGCCCGCGCUGGAUUCGGGUAGGUUGCUUGAGGCCUGUGGUGACACAGGUCCCAGAUGAAUGAUUGUCCGCGACAGAACCCGGCUUAUCGACCCACUCCGCCU